rnacentral:rRNA from 1 species
UACGGAGGGGGCUAGCGUUGUUCGGAAUUACUGGGCGUAAAGCGUGCGCAGGCGGUUCUAUAAGACAGAUGUGAAAUCCCCGGGCUCAACCUGGGAACUGCAUUUGUGACUGUAGAGCUGGAGUACGGCAGAGGGGGAUGGAAUUCCUGGUGUAGCGGUGAAAUGCGCAGAUAUCAGGAAGAACACCCGUGGCUAAGGCGGCUCUCUAGUACGGUACUGACGCUGAGACGCGAAAGCGUGGGGAGCGAACAGG